ACAGAACGAUGCUGACAUAGUGAACCAUCCAGCUUGAAGCAGCUCCAAGACAUCUAUAAGGUACAACAUAUAUGAAUCCAAUUUUUUGAUGGCCGAGGUUUCAAGCAGAUGUCUUGAAACUCCCCCUCUUCACCUCAAUUCGAUUUCAUCAGUAUAUGUAUGUAUUGAUCUGAUGUAUCUGAAGAUUGAAGAAACAUAUAUGGGCUUUGUCAGAGAUGAGUGUAUAACCCAGCUAAGUUGUCAAACAAGGGAAUCGAAGAUUGCCAAGUUCUCAAUCAAAAUUCGAUUUGGUUUCAGUCUGAUCACGACCCACUGCUGAAAAUCUUGCAAUCUUUGAUCAACAAAAGUUGGGACAUAAAAGGUUUUUUUAGGAUGGAAAUUAGUCUUCUGAUCAAAAGUACUUUUUGAUCAGGUUAUCAGGAUGGUUUGCUACCUAUGAAUGGAAUUAGAUGUAUACAAUAUGUGUACAUUUAAUUGUGAACCUUUAUUAUGACCGAUCAUAUCGGGGAGCAAAAUUUGAAGAGAUUAUUCAAUUUUGAGUCAUCAUAUGUGAUUGUUUAUAUGUUGCUGUGAGCAUAGAUUGAAGAUGCAUCGUCUCAACAUCAUAUCAUAUCUACCAUUGUUUUUCAUGCAAAUUCAUUCAAGAAGAUAAGUUUAAGAAUUCAAAAGACGAGAAAUCUUUGGUGCCCAAGUUAAAAGCACAUGAGUCACAAAAGCAGAUAAAGUAAUCCCCAACAAGUGAUCCCCAUGUAACUUGACCCAUAGUUUGAAGAUAGAAGAAGAUAAGACUACCUUACCUUAUCUCCAUUGCUUUUCAUUUAUUUUGGUUCAUAUAUUUUUAACGUGGUGCAUACGGCUAGACGGCUAGUAACACUUUUACAACCUAACAGUUUGAGCCGUUGAUAAGAACGCCAACUGCAAGGUUUGCCAUUAUUAUGUUGUCAAAUUAAAACCAUUGGGAAAACAUUAUAUUAUUAAUUAAUUGCCUAAUAAACUAGUUAGGGUAAAUUAUAUUAUAUUGUUGAUUUGCAGAAAAUUUUAAACUAGAAAAUAUUUACUUACAAAUCAAGUAUAAUAUAAUGGGAAUCAUUUUUAAACUUUGAAAUAUUAAUGCACCAAUGCAAACACUUAUAAUCUCAACAAUCUAACUUAAAACCUUCCAUUCUCAACUCCUAGCUAUAUAGUAACUUUUCAAAUUUCAACUAAAUUUCAUCAUUCAGCCAGGUGUAUGUGACACACAAAGUCUUUGUACUACAAAUCCUAUAUUUUUUUAAUCCCAAUUUAUUCAAAAUAUAAAAUAAAAUAAAAUAAAAAGAUUUUGCAUAGUGUUGAACAAAGUGACAUACAUUAUCCAAGGGUGUGCAUUGGCUAAACCAUGCAUUGUGACUCUAGUUGACAAAA